GGGUUGUGAGGUUAAGCGACUAAGCGUACACGGUGGAUGCCCUGGCAGUCAGAGGCGAUGAAGGACGUGCUAAUCUGCGAAAAGCGCCGGUAAGGUGAUAUGAACCGUUAUAACCGGCGAUGUCCGAAUGGGGAAACCCAGUGUGAUUCGUCACACUAUCAUUAACUGAAUCCAUAGGUUAAUGAGGCGAACCGGGGGAACUGAAACAUCUAAGUACCCCGAGGAAAAGAAAUCAACCGAGAUUCCCCCAGUAGCGGCGAGCGAACGGGGAGGAGCCCAGAGCCUGAAUCAGCAUGUGUGUUAGUGGAAGCGUCUGGAAAGGCGCGCGAUACAGGGUGACAGCCCCGUACACAAAAGCGCAUGUGCUGUGAGCUCGAUGAGUAGGGCGGGACACGUGGUAUCCUGUCUGAAUAUGGGGGGACCAUCCUCCAAGGCUAAAUACUCCUGACUGACCGAUAGUGAACCAGUACCGUGAGGGAAAGGCGAAAAGAACCCCGGCGAGGGGAGUGAAAAAGAACCUGAAACCGUGUACGUACAAGCAGUGGGAGCCCCACCACCAAAGCAUUCUCUGGUGUUGAAGGCCCUGCAAAGCAGCAUCGCGGUGGCGGAGCGUCGUUUGCGACGCCCAACACACAAAACAAGCGGUGAGUGCUUUGGGGUGGGGUGACUGCGUACCUUUUGUAUAAUGGGUCAGCGACUUAUAUUCUGUAGCAAGGUUAACCGAAUAGGGGAGCCGGAGGGAAACCGAGUCUUAAUUGGGCGUUAAGUUGCAGGGUAUAGACCCGAAACCCGGUGAUCUAGCCAUGGGCAGGUUGAAGGUUGGGUAACACUAACUGGAGGACCGAACCGACUAAUGUUGAAAAAUUAGCGGAUGACCUGUGGCUGGGGGUGAAAGGCCAAUCAAACCGGGAGAUAGCUGGUUCUCCCCGAAAGCUAUUUAGGUAGCGCCUCGUGAACUCAUCUCCGGGGGUAGAGCACUGUUUCGGCUAGGGGGCCAUCCCGGCUUACCAACCCGAUGCAAACUGCGAAUACCGGAGAAUGUUAUCACGGGAGACACACGGCGGGUGCUAACGUCCGUCGUGAAGAGGGAAACAACCCAGACCGCCAGCUAAGGUCCCAAAGUCAUGGUUAAGUGGGAAACGAUGUGGGAAGGCCCAGACAGCCAGGAUGUUGGCUUAGAAGCAGCCAUCAUUUAAAGAAAGCGUAAUAGCUCACUGGUCGAGUCGGCCUGCGCGGAAGAUGUAACGGGGCUAAACCAUGCACCGAAGCUGCGGCAGCGAACGUAUCACUUAAAGCGAUUCAGCGGGUUACGAUUGACGGAGCGAAGCGACGUCAAAGCGUAUACAAAGUCGAGUCG
rnacentral:rRNA from 1 species